GAUCUACCUUUUGUACAUUUUGUUCCUGCAUUUGUCAUUAAUCAGGACAAUGUUUUUUCCUGGUUGAAUUACAGCAAAAGACAUAAAUACAAAGAAUGAUGAUGUAAUAAACUUAUGCUUUAAUAUUCUUUUAUUGCAUCAUUAACAUAUCUGCCAAGCAAAAGUUUUAUGAAAAACUGCAUGUGGCAACAAAACAGUUCAAGUGGGCUCGUGGGAAGACACAGCAGAGGAAGUCGUCUGUACCAGCCAUAUUCCAGAGAGGCCUGUCCAGGGACACCAUCUUCGC